UAGCUCACUGGUCGAGUGACUCUGCGCCGAAAAUGUAACGGGGCUAAACACACCACCGAAGCUAUGGCUUGAUGCUUGCAUCAGGGGUAGGGGAGCGUUGAAUGCGGGUUGAAGGUGUACCGUAAGGAGCGCUGGACUGCAUUCAAGUGAGAAUGCCGGUAUGAGUAACGAAAAGAUCUGUGAGAAUCAGAUCCGCCGAAAGCCUAAGGGUUCCUGAGGAAGGUUCGUCCGCUCAGGGUAAGUCGGGACCUAAGGCGAGGCCGAUAGGCGUAGUCGAAGGACAACAGGUCGAAAUUCCUGUACCACCGUAAUCCGUUAUGAGCGAUGGGGUGACGCAGUAGGGUAGUGACGCGGACUGAUGGAUGUCCGUCUAAGCAGUGAGGCUGAUGUGUAGGCAAAUCCGCACAUCGUAAGGCUGGGCUGUGAUGGGGAGCGAAAAUUGUAGUAGCGAAGGUCAUGAUCUCAGACUGCCAAGAAAAGCCUCUAGCCAGGAGAAGGUGCCCGUACCGCAAACCGACACAGGUAGGCGAGAAGAGAAUUCUAAGGCGCGCGGAAGAACUCUCGUUAAGGAACUCGGCAAAAUGACCCCGUAACUUCGGGAGAAGGGGUGCCUCGGUAGGGUGAAUAGCCCGAGGGGGCCGCAGUGAAAAGGCCCAAGCGACUGUUUAGCAAAAACACAGGUCUGUGCGAAGCCGCAAGGCGAAGUAUACGGGCUGACGCCUGCCCGGUGCUGGAAGGUUAAGGGGAGUGGUAAGCCCUUCGGGGCGAAGCUAUGAACCGAAGCCCCAGUAAACGGCGGCCGUAACUAUAACGGUCCUAAGGUAGCGAAAUUCCUUGUCAGGUAAAUUCUGACCCGCACGAAUGGCGUAACGACUUGGGCGCUGUCUCAACGAGAGAUCCGGUGAAAUUUUAAUACCUGUGAAGAUGCAGGUUACCCGCGACAAGACGGAAAGACCCCAUGGAGCUUUACUGCAGCUUGAUAUUGAAUUUGGGUACGAUCUGUACAGGAUAGGUGGGAGCCGUAGAACUUUGAGCGCCAGCUUGAAGGGAGGCAUCCUUGGGAUACCACCCUGAUCGUAUCUAGGUUCUAACUUGGUACCGUAAACCGGUGCGAGGACAGUGUCAGGUGGGCAGUUUGACUGGGGCGGUCGCCUCCUAAAGAGUAACGGAGGCGCCCCAAGGUUCCCUCAGAAUGGUUGGAAAUCAUUCGAAGAGUGCAAAGGCAGAAGGGAGCUUGACUGCGAGACCUACAAGUCGAGCAGGGACGAAAGUCGGGCUUAGUGAUCCGGUGGUACCGCAUGGAAGGGCCAUCGCUCAACGGAUAAAAGCUACCCUGGGGAUAACAGGCUUAUCUCCCCCAAGAGUCCACAUCGACGGGGAGGUUUGGCACCUCGAUGUCGGCUCAUCGCAUCCUGGGGCUGAAGUAGGUCCCAAGGGUUGGGCUGUUCGCCCAUUAAAGCGGUACGCGAGCUGGGUUCAGAACGUCGUGAGACAGUUCGGUCCCUAUCUGUCGUGGGCGUAGGAAAUUUGAGAGGAGCUGUCCUUAGUACGAGAGGACCGGGAUGGACGUACCGCUGGUGUACCAGUUGUUCCGCCAGGAGCACCGCUGGGUAGCUAUGUACGGAAGGGAUAAGCGCUGAAAGCAUCUAAGCGUGAAGCCCCCCUCAAGAUGAGAUUUCCCA
rnacentral:rRNA from 1 species